rnacentral:rRNA from 1 species
GACGAUGCGACGCCGCGUGAAGGAUGAAGGCCCUAGGGUUGUAAACUUCUGUCAAGAGGGAAUAAGCAAGUGAAGGUACCUCUAGAGGAAGGGGCGGCUAAUUCCGUGCCAGCAGCCGCGGUAACACGGAAGCCCCGAGCGUUGUUCGGAUUUAUUGGGCGUAAAGGGUGCGUAGGCGGCGCGGAAAGUCUGGUGUGAAAGGCAGGGGCUCAACCCCUGGGACUGCACUGGAUACUCCCGUGCUUGAGGACUGGAGGGGAGACUGGAAUUCACGGUGUAGCAGUGAAAUGCGUAGAUAUCGUGAGGAAGACCGGUGGCGAAGGCGAGUCUCUGGACAGUUCCUGACGCUGAGGCACGAAGGCUGGGGUAGCGAACAGGAUUAGAUACCCUGGUAGUCCCAGCAGUAAACGAUGUGAGCUUGAUGUGGGGGGAUUCGACCCCUUCCGUGUCGAAGUUAACGCGAUAAGCUCACCGCCUGAGGAGUACGAUCGCAAGAUUAAAACUCAAAGAAAUUGACGGGGACCCGCACAAGCGGUGGAGUAUGUGGCUUAAUUCGAUGCAACGCGAAGAACCUUACCUGGCCUUGACAUGCAUUGUGUCGUCGGUGAAAGCCGGCUAGUCCUGGAAACAGGACGCUUUGCACAGGUGCUGCAUGGCUGUCGUCAGCUCGUGUCGUGAGAUGUUGGGUUAAGUCCCGCAACGAGCGCAACCCCUAUGGUUAGUUACUAAGGUCCUUGAGACCAGGACUCUAGCCAGACUGCCCUGUCAAACGGGGAGGAAGGUGGGGACGACGUCAAGUCAGUAUGGCCCUUAUGGCCAGGGCUGCACACGUACUACAAUGCCUGGUACAGUAUGAACCUAAACCGCGAGGUGGAGGAAAUCAGCCAAAACCAGGCCCAGUUCGGAUUGGAGUCUGCAACUCGGCUCCAUGAAGUCGGAAUCGCUAGUAAUGGCGCAUCAGCAACGGCGCCGUGAAUACGUUCCCGGGUCUUGUACACACCGCCC